UCUUAUGGAUAAGCAAAGGAAGUAGUUUCUAAAGAUAAAACCUACUCCUGAUGGAGAUACUGUGAA
rnacentral:pre_miRNA from 1 species